rnacentral:lncRNA from 1 species
UGGAGGUGAGAAACGAAAAGUAUGGAUAACAUGUUGUUAUUAUCACCAGGUAGUAAGGGAAUAGGAGUGGGGCAUUAGUUAGAGGUCAUUUUGUGGUAUCAUUUUAGAUUGUUUUUUUGAGAUUUUCAUUUCUUAUAUUCUUUGCAUACUUGAGAGUAGUAAUUCCAAUUAAGAGCUUGCUAGAGGGAGCGUUAUGGUGAUUAAAAGUGUAAAAUGAGCUAUAAUUAA